GACAUAGAAAUUCGCCAAUUUUCGACCAGGAGGGCAUUGGCAAGUUACUUUCUAGAUUUGUGUCGUGCCGUAUCCACGCGAAACACACCGAGCGUGAUCGAAUUCUACCGGUUCCCGAGCCGGUUUUUGUCCACGCGCCGCGUCGUCGCGCCCAGUAGCUUCGUGGCGUUUCAACAACAUCGAACGAGUGACCCUGUAGCGAAAGCUGAAAUAUCAUUCGAUGGAUCGCGAUUCCGCAUAAAACGAAUGCUCGUUGAAACGUUGAGUCAGGUGUCGCAGGCUGGCUGUUCAAAUGUUGAGAUGGUGGAACGAAACGGUCAUAGAACGCAGAGCCAGUUCAGGUAGCCGGGAAUACACGUGUUACAACAACGCGAAACAACGCCGGCGAACGGGCCAACAUGGGACGAAUUCUUCGAGCGAAAACGGGAAGAGCAGGCUGGGAGGGCCGAGGUGAGAACCAAAGUUCCCCGUCGUCUCUCAACAAUGGCGAACGUACACGUGUAACUGUAGAUAACGCUA
rnacentral:misc_RNA from 1 species